rnacentral:lncRNA from 1 species
GAGCUCACUUGGCCUUCUCUCUUGUCGCACCCAGUUUUGAUAACAAAACCAAGUACUCAAAUAUGUGCGCCUAGGAUGUCCAAACACACAUAUUAUCACAAAUUGUAAAUAUAUCAAAGUAAAGUACUUAUUACAUCACAUAUUCAUCAUAAACAUCUCACAUAGUCUUGCUCACUAGCAACAUUAUUACAUAAAGCGGAAAGCUAAGCCCUUGCUGCCACAGGGACACCAACUGGUGAACACCAGCACUCUCGAAGUCCUGGACAUCUUCAGGGAACUCCUC